ensembl:rRNA 5S_rRNA 5S ribosomal RNA
GCUUACGGCCAUACCACUCUGACAAAGCCUGAUCUCAUCUGACCUUGGAAGCAAAGCAGAGUUGGGCCUGGUUAGUACUUGGUUGGGAAACUGAAUGGGAAUACUAGGUGCUGUAAGCU